GUCCUUUUGAUUUUUAUAUAAGGUCUGACCUGCCCUAUGAAUAUUUAAAUGGCCGCGGUAUACUAACCGUGCAAAGGUAGCAUAGUCAUUUGUCUCUUAAUUGGAGGCUUGAAUGAAGGGUUGGACGAGAUAUAAGCUUUCUUUGUUAUAUUUUAUUGAAUUUGACUUUUGAGUUAAAAGGCUUAAAUUUUUUUAUAGGACGAGAAGACCCUAUAGAAUUUUAUAUAUUUGUAUAAUUGAUUUAUUUAUUUAUUAUUUAAUUUCUUGUUUAAAUAUAUUUUAUUGGGGCGAUGGGAAGAUUUUAAUAACUCUUUUUUGUUUUGAUCAUUGAUUUAUGUUUUAUUCUGAUCCUUUUUUAGAGAUUAUAAGAUUAAAUUACCUUAGGGAUAACAGCGUAAUUCUUUUGGAGAGUUCUUAUCGAUAAAAGAGUUUGCGA
rnacentral:rRNA from 1 species